AUCACUUCUCAGCCUUUUGGCUAAGACAAGUGUAGUAUCUGUUCUUAUCAGGUUAAUAUCUGAUACAUCAUCUAUCCAACAACAAUAUAUUAAAUGGAUUUUUGGCACAAGAAACUGGAAUAGGAGCUUGCUGCAUCCAUUCCACGCAUUGACCUGGUCAUGCAGUACCCCCAGGAUCGAUGUACAAAAA